AUUGAACGCUGGCGGCAGGCCUAACACAUGCAAGUCGAGCGAGCGGCGGACGGGUGAGUAAUGUAUGGGGAACUGCCUGAUGGAGGGGGCUAAAUACUGGAAACGGUAGCUAAUACCGCAUACCAUCAGAUGGACCCAGAUGGGAUUAGCUAGUAGGUGUGGUAAUGGCUCACCUAGGCGACGAUCCCUAGCUGGUCUGAGAGGAGGACCAGCCACACGGGAACUGAUACACGGCCCAGACUCCUACGGGAGGAAGCAGUGGGGAAUAUUGGACAAUGGGCGAAAGCCGGAUGCAGAAAUGCGGCGUGGAUGAAGAAGGCGUUCGGGUUGUAAAGUACUUUCAGUGGGGAGGCGUUACCUACAGAAGAAGCACCGGCUAACUACGUGCCAGCAGCCGCGGUAAUUC
rnacentral:rRNA from 1 species